UGGGGAAUAUUGCACAAUGGGCGGAAGCCUGAUGCAGCAACGCCGCGCGCGGGAUGACGGCCUUCGGGUUGUAAACCGCUUUCGCCUGUGACGAAGCGUGAGUGACGGUAAUGGGUAAAGAAGCACCGGCUAACUACGUGCCAGCAGCCGCGGUGAUACGUAGGGUGCGAGCGUUGUCCGGAUUUAUUGGGCGUAAAGGGCUCGUAGGUGGUUGAUCGCGUCGGAAGUGUAAUCUUGGGGCUUAACCCUGAGCGUGCUUUCGAUACGGGUUGACUUGAGGAAGGUAGGGGAGAAUGGAAUUCCUGGUGGAGCGGUGGAAUGCGCAGAUAUCAGGAGGAACACCAGUGGCGAAGGCGGUUCUCUGGGCCUUUCCUGACGCUGAGGAGCGAAAGCGUGGGGAGCGAACA
rnacentral:rRNA from 1 species